rnacentral:rRNA from 1 species
GAUGAACGCUCGCUACAGGCUUAACACAUGCAAGUCGCGGGGCAGCAUGGGGGUUGCUUGCAAUCCCCGAUGGCGACCGGCGCACGGGUGAGUAACGCGUAUCCAACCUGCCCUUCACCACGGGAUAACCCGGCGAAAGUCGGACUAAUACCGUAUGUUGUCCAUUGACGGCCUCCGAUUUGGACGAAAGGUUUGGCGGUGAAGGAUGGGGAUGCGUCCGAUUAGCUGGACGGCGGGGUGACGGCCCACCGUGGCGACGAUCGGUAGGGGUUCUGAGAGGAAGGUCCCCCACACUGGAACUGAGACACGGUCCAGACGCCUACGGGAGGCAGCAGUGAGGAAUAUUGGUCAAUGGGCGUAAGCCUGAACCAGCCAAGUAGCGUGCAGGAUGACGGCCCUAUGGGUUGUAAACUGCUUUUAUGCGGGGAUAAAGUGGCCCACGUGUGGGUUUUUGCAGGUACCGCAUGAAUAAGGACCGGCUAAUUCCGUG